rnacentral:lncRNA from 1 species
UGGGUAUCUGAAAUUGGAACACGUUAGCCUUGGUCAGUCACGCGUCCACACCUCCUGCCUACAACGCUCAGCACCUCACCGACAGCCUCCUCUACCUAUAUCUCUAGAUUUUUCCGUCACUUGCAUGCCAACCAUACUCCUUUAGUUCUCAGAACCAGAGGUUACACCCACUAAUCUCGUCAGCAUCCACCUAAAACCCAAACCACCUUUCCUACCCAACCUUGCCAAGAACGAAGAAACCAGCCAUGGCAACGGGUUAGAAGCCACUGAAGUCCCUAUCUUUUUCUGUUGCCGAGUGUAGAAGCUUGGGCUUUGGAAAUUAGACUGAGAUCGGUUCCCUCCUAAGGUUUGGAAUUGGGGAGAAGUAGAGAAUUGGAGCUGGAGUUAAUCGAAAGUCUUUGUCAGCUGAAAGGUGGAAUUGUGCAGUACAUAAAUUGAGGAAGAAGGUUUCUGGGUGAAGGUAGUGUUGACGGCAACUGACCAAAUUGAGUGACCCAGGCUUAAUCAACGACGGUGAUAACUCGGAGAUUGCCUAAGCAUGGAUUCCAGGAACUGAGCAGGAGCUAGCUGAGGACCAGACUUAGACACUUGGGUGUUGGCAUCGUCAAGUUGUG